CUUUUCUCUGGUUCAUAUUGGAUUGUUUCAUCUUUUGUAUUCGGUUUGGUAUCUUCUUUAGCACUUGAUGUGUGUUGUUCAAUUUAAUUUGGUUGGUCUAUCUUCUCACUCGAUCGCUUACUCCUUUUCUUAAUUUUUUGGUCCCUCCGUCAUGAUUUUGAGAUAGGUUCUUCCGGUCUGAACUGUUUUCCCCCGUCCUUUCCGAGGAGAUUUAAUCAUGAUCUCAUUUUCUCAAGCUUCCUUCUUUGCGUUUCAUGGUCGCUUCUUUGUUGGUCUUAUAGGAACCUUACUUUACUACGAUGCGACAACUGAUAUUUGUAAAAAUAAUAAGAAUAAAAAUUAAAAUUACAAUACCGAAACAAAUAAAUAAAGAGGAAUUGCAGAGACGAGAUGGUUAAUCUCUUUCUUUAAAUUUUUGAACGUCUCGUAGUGUGAUGGUUUCAUAACGCUCAGAUUCCCAGGAUACAACUGCAAUAUUGUUUCUAUUUACCAUCACCGAAAAACAUAAUCUAUUGAACAUAAUUUUGUGUUAUACUCUUGGGCUCAAAAAAUAAAAUAAAAACAUAAUCACAAUACUAAAAGGCCAAUAUGCUGAAACAAUACUAAAAGGCCAAUAUGCUGAAUUUCUAGGCUGCCACGUCACCAAAAAUAAUCAGCCAAUAAAA
rnacentral:lncRNA from 1 species